rnacentral:lncRNA from 1 species
GGAGAAGAGAAGAGAGGAGAGCAGCAGCGUGCUGCCCGCACCAGGCGCCCCUUCGCAUAUUUCACCGGGAAUUUACGAGCCUCGAUACGACAGGGAAAUUGCAAGAAUGGCGGAGUAAUCUAUCUCUCCUUGCCUCCGUGGGCUCUCUCUUCUUUUCCCAGCACCCUGCUCCUCCUCUUCUCGAACCCCCCCCCCCCCUCUUCUCUUGGACGCGCUCUUACGCGCACCCACUUCUUCCCUUUCGCAAGGAACGAAGAAAAUUCCGCUAUCUCCCUCUCGCAAGAUAAAAGAGAUUUGUCCCGCGUCCUGGUAUAUACCGCGAACCACCUAAUUGUGUUAUCGAGAUAACCGGUCGAUCCGUUAUCCGCCGCCGAAGGAUUCCGAGUCAGGACACGGAGUUUGCAAAGAAUUCUUACCGAUCCUUGGAGAGUCGUAAAUGUUCAUAGUUGUCGCUGGCUAUGCGCCUCUGAAUAAUCGAUGCUCUCCACGAUGUGAAAUAAAGGAAGAAUGGAGAGGAAGGGAGGUAGGGGAUACGGUAGUAGUAAAUAGUGUAGAAGAUGGCGCUUUGACUUUUAACUGUUCCCCCUUUGUUCUCACUUUUGCACAAACUUGCAAAUGGAAAUUGAUACUCUCAUAUUGCAGGUGAAUUGUUUCAAGAAAGAAAGAAAGGAAGGAAAAACAAGGAUGGAUGUAGAUCUCUAGCAAAAGAGGAUUGUUUCAAGAAAGAAAGAAAGGAAGGAAAAGGAAGGAUGGAUGUAGAUUUCUAGCAAAAGAAGAUUGUUUCAAGAAAGAAAGAAAGGAAGGAAAAGGAAGGAUGGAUGUAGAUUUCUAGAAAAAAAGAAUUGGAAUGGAAAGAGUGUUCAAAAGGGACAGGUGGAGUUAAUUAAUUGCAGGGAUGUAUCUGGGUAAGCGACGUGUAAAUCACCGACCGGUCAAAACAGUAGGGAAUGGUAACACGUGCUUUGACCCCCUUAUUGCGCAAUAAUUGCGUGGAAGAGCGGUAGGGGUAGGUGGCACGCUUUCCAUCGCCAUUUUCCAUCCUUCAGUUAGGUUGAGUAACGGCUGAUACGUUGGCGAACGCAAUUGCGCGAGAUAGAUUGGGUUUAUGCAUCCUUCCGAAAGAAGAGGAACGAGUUGGAGUUAUUGGACGAAGGGAACGAAUUCUCUCAUCUGCUAUAUAUUCUUGACAAAAGAAGAAUACCAAGAAAUAGUAGAACAAAUAUAUAAUUCAGAAUAUAACAAAGGUAUUACCCGAACAAGCCUCUCAUUCCGUUUCUGCAUAAUUCCAUGGAAAUCCGUAAGCCAAGUCGGAUAUCUUCUACCAUAGAGACGCGCGCACACACAUAACCCUCCAACUUUAACUUGCUUCACCGAGAGAAUUCAACGCCAAGAAAAGGAGUAUAUCCACCGAUACGUCGGCGGAAAUAAUUACGCGUAACCGUAGCUCGGUUUCCUCGAGUUCUACGUGUCUGAGAGUGUGUAGUACUCUCGCCGAAGGAGGGAGGGUGGUCAAAAGGGAGGGUUUGGUGGGAGGGGCGGCGAAAAUACUAUAGGUAACGGUGUACUUGGGUGUACAUGGGUGGUAAUACAUAGGGGAAGGGAGACCCUACUCGUGGCACGGGUUAGCUAUAUCCACGUUAACGUACUGUAGCGUGGCCGCGGCCGCCGCUCGGUUUAAUUUAACACAGCAGCUGUAAUCCCAUCCAUUACGGGCCGCGGUAAUAUACGAUCGCUCGAGAUUCAUACUCCGUUUUUUCACUAAUUAACAGACGGGACAAAUCGCUCCGCCGAUUCACCUCUUCCCUCCCCCCUCCCCCCUCCGCCCCCCGUUCGGCCGACCAUCCCACCGGAAAAACGGCAUGCGCGGGGGCCCCUCUCUUCAUUCUACUCUUGUCCAACGAAACGCUUUGUUCCUUCGCGCGGUAAAAUUUACCUGGCUGUUUUACCCCGAGUUUCAUUCGGCCCAUCAUUCUGCCCAACAGUGUUCGCUUCCUGUUCGUUUUGGUUACGUGUCUGGUUUUUGGAUACCGGGGUACCCGGUUAAAUCUCUUUGAACGGUAUUUGGGUCUGGUCAGGGAACAGUCUUGGAUAGAUAUUUGGAGUAUAAAAAUUAUGUAAUGAAAAAUGUUUAUAGUUUUGUAUUGUAUGUAAAUCUUUAAAAAUUUAUGUAUAUCGUUGACAACAAUUGAUUUCUAAGAGUCAUUCAAAAAUUUAUGCAUCUAUUAGUAUCCUUUCAAUUUUUCCCUGAUCGUUUCAUUAUUAUGUCGUCUUAAACGGUAUUUAAAUUAUGAAUGUAAAAAUUGUCGAAUCAUUCAAAUGGUAAAAAAGAUUGGAUUAGAUUAAGAAGAAGAAAAAGUUCGUGAAUUGGUUCGAUCAAAGAUCGAUUAAACUGCUACCGUAAUAUCAUUUAUUAUUCUUGUAUCGUGUUUCUAAUUACACAAGGGCGCACCCACAAAUCACGAAAUUCUUCCUUCCCCUUUCGAGUCGGUCGGUAAUGGAGUGGUUUCUCGGGCCGCAGAAACGUUCUAAUUUUACCGACCGAGCGAUUGAUUAACGUUAAUUAUUUCUUUCGAAAGCGGGUUUUUACGAGGCGAUCGGUGGCCCGCCGCGCUCGUCACGCCUCCCGUAUUGACGGAAGAGUUAUUACUUCAUAGCAUUCCCGGGCUGGUUCAUACUGUAGCCCACGCCACCGGAUUGCUAUGCUCGCGCGGAAUGAUCGAUCGAUGAUCCUUAAUUAUUCCUCUCGACAGGCGAGAAAAACGAUCGCCAUUGCGACGAUAAGGAACUCUGUUGAUACAUUCCACUCCAAAUAUACGUAUAUUAUACUAAUCUCUAUGUAGCAAUAGUAUAUUGUUGCAUUUCAGAUAUCAAAUUGUAAAUAAAUUUAAUUCUGAUUCUAUCUUACUUAAUUGAUUCGUAUUAUAUUAUAUUGAAAUUUAUAGAGUAAUAUUUAUAGA